UUCCCAUCCAGAGCGGCCGAGAGACCUGGCUUGUUGACGCCGCAGCAACCGUCCAACGUACUGUCCCUGUCCCGCAGGUGCGGCAGUGCAGAGGAACGGUGCUACCGCCAGAAACGAUGGAAA
rnacentral:ncRNA from 2 species